rnacentral:tRNA from 1 species
GCCGACAUAGCUCAAUUGGCAGAGCAACCGCCUUGUAAGCGGUAGGUCAUGGGUUCAAGUCCCAUUGUCGGCU